UCCUACGCUUUAGUAGAGUCAAAACUAGUAGGAACAUUUUAGUGAGUGGGUUCUUUCGUUCAGGAACAAUUCUUGUUCAAAGUGUGUAAAGUAUAAGCUACAGUAUAUGCUCUGAAUUGGACAAUACAACAUGUGGAUUAUCACAUUGUUUUACUACAAUUUGAUGAACUCCCGAAACAAACGAAUAUCAAGGAUUAUUUGGACAUCAGACCGAAAAUUGUUGAAAGCCGAGUCACCUACAUAGCUAUGGGUUCCCCAGAGUGAUCUGUGCCAUAGACUGCACCCAUCUUCUGAUAAACAGCAUCGCUGGGUGAGAAUGAAGGCGAUUUUGUUAAUCACAAGUCAUUACACAGCAUCAAAGUUCAGGACACACCUCCACGACUCGACCCAGCCUAAACUGGCCCCUCAGUGCGUUCUGUUCAGCUAACCACACCAGGUCCCCCGCUGCAACAUUUCUAGCAGGCGCG